rnacentral:rRNA from 1 species
GGUUAAGCGACUAAGCGUACACGGUGGAUGCCCUGGCAGUCAGAGGCGAUGAAGGACGUGCUAAUCUGCGAAAAGCGUCGGUAAGGUGAUAUGAACCGUUAUAGCCGGCGAUGUCCGAAUGGGGAAACCCAGUGCAAUUCGUUGCACUAUCGUUAACUGAAUACAUAGGUUAACGAGGCGAACCGGGGGAACUGAAACAUCUAAGUACCCCGAGGAAAAGAAAUCAACCGAGAUUCCCCCAGUAGCGGCGAGCGAACGGGGAGCAGCCCAGAGUCUGAAUCAGCUUGUGUGUUAGUGGAACGGUCUGGAAAGUCCGACGGUACAGGGUGAUAGUCCCGUACACCAAAAUGCACAGGUUGUGAACUCGAAGAGUAGGGCGGGACACGUGGUAUCCUGUCUGAAUAUGGGGGGACCAUCCUCCAAGGCUAAAUACUCCUGACUGACCGAUAGUGAACCAGUACCGUGAGGGAAAGGCGAAAAGAACCCCGGCGAGGGGAGUGAAAAAGAACCUGAAACCGUGUACGUACAAGCAGUGGGAGCACCUUCGGGUGUGACUGCGUACCUUUUGUAUAAUGGGUCAGCGACUUAUAUUCUGUAGCAAGGUUAACCGUAUAGGGGAGCCGCAGGGAAACCGAGUCUUAACUGGGCGUUAAGUUGCAGGGUAUAGACCCGAAACCCGGUGAUCUAGCCAUGGGCAGGUUGAAGGUUGGGUAACACUAACUGGAGGACCGAACCGACUAAUGUUGAAAAAUUAGCGGAUGACUUGUGGCUGGGGGUGAAAGGCCAAUCAAACCGGGAGAUAGCUGGUUCUCCCCGAAAGCUAUUUAGGUAGCGCCUCGUGAAUUCAUCUUCGGGGGUAGAGCACUGUUUCGGCUAGGGGGUCAUCCCGACUUACCAACCCGAUGCAAACUACGAAUACCGAAGAAUGUUAUCACGGGAGACACACGGCGGGUGCUAACGUCCGUCGUGAAGAGGGAAACAACCCAGACCGCCAGCUAAGGUCCCAAAGUCAUGGUUAAGUGGGAAACGAUGUGGGAAGGCACAGACAGCCAGGAUGUUGGCUUAGAAGCAGCCAUCAUUUAAAGAAAGCGUAAUAGCUCACUGGUCGAGUCGGCCUGCGCGGAAGAUGUAACGGGGCUAAACCAUGCACCGAAGCUGCGGCAGCGACACUAUGUGUUGUUGGGUAGGGGAGCGUUCUGUAAGCCUGCGAAGGUGACCUGUGAGGGUUGCUGGAGGUAUCAGAAGUGCGAAUGCUGACAUAAGUAACGAUAAAGCGGGUGAAAAGCCCGCUCGCCGGAAGACCAAGGGUUCCUGUCCAACGUUAAUCGGGGCAGGGUGAGUCGACCCCUAAGGCGAGGCCGAAAGGCGUAGUCGAUGGGAAACAGGUUAAUAUUCCUGUACUUGGUGUUACUGCGAAGGGGGGACGGAGAAGGCUAUGUUAGCCGGGCGACGGUUGUCCCGGUUUAAGCAUGUAGGCUGGUUGUCCAGGCAAAUCCGGAUAAUCAAGGCUGAGGUGUGAUGACGAGGCACUACGGUGCUGAAGUAACAAAUGCCCUGCUUCCAGGAAAAGCCUCUAAGCAUCAGGUAACAUCAAAUCGUACCCCAAACCGACACAGGUGGUCAGGUAGAGAAUACCAAGGCGCUUGAGAGAACUCGGGUGAAGGAACUAGGCAAAAUGGUGCCGUAACUUCGGGAGAAGGCACGCUGGUGUGUAGGUGAAGCCCCUGCGGGUGGAGCUGAGACCAGUCGAAGAUACCAGCUGGCUGCAACUGUUUAUUAAAAACACAGCACUGUGCAAACACGAAAGUGGACGUAUACGGUGUGACGCCUGCCCGGUGCCGGAAGGUUAAUUGAUGGGGUUAUCCGUAAGGAGAAGCUCUUGAUCGAAGCCCCGGUAAACGGCGGCCGUAACUAUAACGGUCCUAAGGUAGCGAAAUUCCUUGUCGGGUAAGUUCCGACCUGCACGAAUGGCGUAAUGAUGGCCAGGCUGUCUCCACCCGAGACUCAGUGAAAUUGAACUCGCUGUGAAGAUGCAGUGUACCCGCGGCAAGACGGAAAGACCCCGUGAACCUUUACUAUAGCUUGACACUGAACAUUGAGCCUUGAUGUGUAGGAUAGGUGGGAGGCUUUGAAGCGUGGACGCCAGUCUGCGUGGAGCCAACCUUGAAAUACCACCCUUUAAUGUUUGAUGUUCUAACGUUGGCCCCUGACCGGGGUUGCGGACAGUGUCUGGUGGGUAGUUUGACUGGGGCGGUCUCCUCCCAAAGCGUAACGGAGGAGCACGAAGGUUAGCUAAUCCUGGUCGGACAUCAGGAGGUUAGUGCAAUGGCAUAAGCUAGCUUGACUGCGAGCGUGACGGCGCGAGCAGGUGCGAAAGCAGGUCAUAGUGAUCCGGUGGUUCUGAAUGGAAGGGCCAUCGCUCAACGGAUAAAAGGUACUCCGGGGAUAACAGGCUGAUACCGCCCAAGAGUUCAUAUCGACGGCGGUGUUUGGCACCUCGAUGUCGGCUCAUCACAUCCUGGGGCUGAAGUAGGUCCCAAGGGUAUGGCUGUUCGCCAUUUAAAGUGGUACGCGAGCUGGGUUUAGAACGUCGUGAGACAGUUCGGUCCCUAUCUGCCGUGGGCGCUGGAGAAUUGAGGGGGGCUGCUCCUAGUACGAGAGGACCGGAGUGGACGCAUCACUGGUGUUCGGGUUGUCAUGCCAAUGGCACUGCCCGGUAGCUAAAUGCGGAAGAGAUAAGUGCUGAAAGCAUCUAAGCACGAAACUUGCCCCGAGAUGAGUUCUCCCUGAGACUUUAAGUCUCCUGAAGGAACGUUGAAGACGACGACGUUGAUAGGCCGGGUGUGUAAGCGCAGCGAUGCGUUGAGCUAACCGGUACUAAUGAACCGUGAGGCUUAACCUU